rnacentral:rRNA from 1 species
AACAGGAUUAGAUACCCUGGUAGUCCACGCCGUAAACGAUGUCGAUUUGGAGGUUGUGCCCUUGAGGCGUGGCUUCCGGAGCUAACGCGUUAAAUCGACCGCCUGGGGAGUACGGCCGCAAGGUUAAAACUCAAAUGAAUUGACGGGGGCCCGCACAAGCGGUGGAGCAUGUGGUUUAAUUCGAUGCAACGCGAAGAACCUUACCUGGUCUUGACAUCCACAGAACUUAGCAGAGAUGCUUUGGUGCCUUCGGGAACUGUGAGACAGGUGCUGCAUGGCUGUCGUCAGCUCGUGUUGUGAAAUGUUGGGUUAAGUCCCGCAACGAGCGCAACCCUUAUCCUUUGUUGCCAGCGGUUCGGCCGGGAACUCAAAGGAGACUGCCAGUGAUAAACUGGAGGAAGGUGGGGAUGACGUCAAGUCAUCAUGGCCCUUACGACCAGGGCUACACACGUGCUACAAUGGCAUAUACAAAGAGAAGCGACCUCGCGAGAGCAAGCGGACCUCAUAAAGUAUGUCGUAGUCCGGAUUGGAGUCUGCAACUCGACUCCAUGAAGUCGGAAUCGCUAGUAAUCGUAGAUCAGAAUGCUACGGUGAAUACGUUCCCGGGCCUUGUACACACCGCCCGUCACACCAUGGGAGUGGGUUGCAAAAGAAGUAGGUAGCUUAACCUUCGGGAGGGCGCUUACCACUUUGUGAUUCAUGACUGGGGUGAAGUCGUAACAAGGUAACCGUAGGGGAACCUGCGGUUG